UGGGGAAUCUUCCGCAAUGGGCGCAAGCCUGACGGAGCAACGCCGCGUGAGUGAUGAAGGCCUUCGGGUCGUAAAACUCUGUCUUGGGGGAAGAAACAAAUGACGGUACCCAGAAG
rnacentral:rRNA from 1 species